UCGUUCUGGUCGAUUUCAUUAUCGUUGUUACAUUCUAUAUAGGUUGACAACAUUUUUAGGCUAAAAUUUCAGUUAGUAAACUAAUAAAACAAAUUUUAGAAUUAUGACUACUUCGAAGUGCCAAAGCUAAAAAGAAAACGUCUGUCUAAUGCCAAAAGAUCGCCAGGAUAACCCGCAAUGGAUAGCUUAACUUUUUACGUGAGCUUAAGGAAAAUAAUGGCGGCCUUUCGCCCCAGGAGACUGUCCGUAUAGGAGCAAAGGCUUGAAACCGACUAAAUUCAAUUAAUGAAACUGGUUGCGUUGAUCCAGAAAGAGGGAUAUACAGACCAAAGGACAUGAUUAUAUGGACUCAUCUAGUCUUUCUAAAGAUUCAUGCAAGGAAUAUGUAAAUAAAGAAACUAAAGACCAUAACUUAA